AGAGUUUGAUCCUGGCUCAGGACGAACGCUGGCGGCGUGCCUAAUACAUGCAAGUCGAACGAAGCUUUCUUUCACCGAAUGCUUGCAUUCACCGAAAGAAGCUUAGUGGCGAACGGGUGAGUAACACGUAGGCAACCUGCCCAAAGGAGGGGGAUAACACUUGGAAACAGGUGCUAAUACCGCAUAACCAUGAACACCGCAUGAUGUUCGUGUAAAAGACGGCUUUUGCUGUCACUUUUGGAUGGGCCUGCGGCGUAUUAACUUGUUGGUGGGGUAACGGCCUACCAAGGUGAUGAUACGUAGCCGAACUGAGAGGUUGAUCGGCCACAUUGGGACUGAGACACGGCCCAAACUCCUACGGGAGGCAGCAGUAGGGAAUCUUCCACAAUGGACGAAAGUCUGAUGGAGCAACGCCGCGUGAAUGAAGAAGGCCUUCGGGUCGUAAAAUUCUGUUGUCAGAGGAGAAUGUGCGUGAGAGUAACUGUUCACGUAUUGACGGUAUCUGACCGGAAAGCCACGGCUAACUACGUGCCAGCAGCCGCGGUAAUACGUAGGUGGCAAGCGUUGUCCGGAUUUAUUGGGCGUAAAGGGAACGCAGGCGGUCUUUUAAGUCUGAUGUGAAAGCCUUCGGCUUAACCGAAGUAGUGCAUUGGAAACUGGAAGACUUGAGUGCAGAAGAGGAGAGUGGAACUCCAUGUGUAGCGGUGAAAUGCGUAGAUAUAUGGAAGAACACCAGUGGCGAAAGCGGCUCUCUGGUCUGUAACUGACGCUGAGGUUCGAAAGCGUGGGUAGCAAACAGGAUUAGAUACCCUGGUAGUCCACGCCGUAAACGAUGAGUGCUAAGUGUUGGAGGGUUUCCGCCCUUCAGUGCUGCAGCUAACGCAUUAAGCACUCCGCCUGGGGAGUACGGUCGCAAGACUGAAACUCAAAGGAAUUGACGGGGGCCCGCACAAGCGGUGGAGCAUGUGGUUUAAUUCGAAGCAACGCGAAGAACCUUACCAGGUCUUGACAUCUUCUGACAAUUCCAGAGAUGGAACGUUCCCUUCGGGGACAGAAUGACAGGUGGUGCAUGGUUGUCGUCAGCUCGUGUCGUGAGAUGUCGGGUUAAGUCCCGCAACGAGCGCAACCCUUAUUGUCAGUUGCCAUCAUUAAGUUGGGCACUCUGGCGAGACUGCCGGUGACAAACCGGAGGAAGGUGGGGAUGACGUCAAAUCAUCAUGCCCCUUAUGACCUGGGCUACACACGUGCUACAAUGGACGGUACAACGAGUCGCUAACUCGCGAGGGCAAGCUAAUCUCUUAAAGCCGUUCUCAGUUCGGAUUGCAGGCUGCAACUCGCCUGCAUGAAGUCGGAAUCGCUAGUAAUCGCGAAUCAGCAUGUCGCGGUGAAUACGUUCCCGGGCCUUGUACACACCGCCCGUCACACCAUGAGAGUUGUAACACCCAAAGUCGGUGGGGUAACCUUUUGGAGCCAGCCGCCUAAGGUGGGACAGAUGAUUGGGGUGAAGUCGGAACAAGGUA
rnacentral:rRNA from 1 species